rnacentral:tRNA from 1 species
AUUCUUAUAGUGUAUAUAUAGCACAUUAGAUUUUCAAUCUUUUAGAACAUUUUAUGUGUUGAGAAUA